GGUGAAAUUGAACUCGCUGUGAAGAUGCAGUGUACCCGCGGCAAGACGGAAAGACCCCGUGAACCUUUACUAUAGCUUGACACUGAACAUUGAGCCUUGAUGUGUAGGAUAGGUGGGAGGCUUUGAAGUGUGGACGCCAGUCUGCAUGGAGCCGACCUUGAAAUACCACCCUUUAAUGUUUGAUGUUCUAACGUGGACCCGU
rnacentral:rRNA from 1 species